UUAAAUUGAAGAGUUUGAUCAUGGCUCAGAUUGAACGCUGGCGGCAGGCCUAACACAUGCAAGUCGAACGGUAACAGGAAGAAGCUUGCUUCUUUGCUGACGAGUGGCGGACGGGUGAGUAAUGUCUGGGAAACUGCCUGAUGGAGGGGGAUAACUACUGGAAACGGUAGCUAAUACCGCAUAACGUCGCAAGACCAAAGAGGGGGACCUUCGGGCCUCUUGCCAUCGGAUGUGCCCAGAUGGGAUUAGCUAGUAGGUGGGGUAACGGCUCACCUAGGCGACGAUCCCUAGCUGGUCUGAGAGGAUGACCAGCCACACUGGAACUGAGACACGGUCCAGACUCCUACGGGAGGCAGCAGUGGGGAAUAUUGCACAAUGGGCGCAAGCCUGAUGCAGCCAUGCCGCGUGUAUGAAGAAGGCCUUCGGGUUGUAAAGUACUUUCAGCGGGGAGGAAGGGAGUAAAGUUAAUACCUUUGCUCAUUGACGUUACCCGCAGAAGAAGCACCGGCUAACUCCGUGCCAGCAGCCGCGGUAAUACGGA
rnacentral:rRNA from 1 species